AACGAACGCUGGCGGCAUGCCUAACACAUGCAAGUCGAACGAGACCUUCGGGUCUAGUGGCGCACGGGUGCGUAACGCGUGGGAACCUGCCCUUAGGCUCGGAAUAACUCCCCGAAAGGGGUGCUAAUACCGGAUAAUGUCUUCGGACCAAAGAUUUAUCGCCUCUGGAUGGGCCCGCGUUGGAUUAGCUAGUUGGUAGGGUAAAAGCCUACCAAGGCGACGAUCCAUAGCUGGUCUGAGAGGAUGAUCAGCCACACUGGGACUGAGACACGGCCCAGACUCCUACGGGAGGCAGCAGUGGGGAAUAUUGGACAAUGGGCGAAAGCCUGAUCCAGCAAUGCCGCGUGAGUGAUGAAGGCCUUAGGGUUGUAAAGCUCUUUUACCCGGGAUGAUAAUGACAGUACCGGGAGAAUAAGCUCCGGCUAACUCCGUG
rnacentral:rRNA from 1 species